rnacentral:rRNA from 1 species
GACGGAGGGUGCUAGCGUUGUUCGGAAUCACUGGGCGUAAAGGGCGCGUAGGCGGCCUCAUGUGUCGGAUGUGAAAGCCCGGGGCUCAACCCCGGAGGUGCAUCCGAAACUCUGGGGCUGGAGGUCGGAAGAGGAGGGUGGAAUACCCAGUGUAGAGGUGAAAUUCGUAGAUAUUGGGUGGAACACCGGUGGCGAAAGCGGCUCUCUGGUCCGGUACUGACGCUGAGGUGCGAAAGCGUGGGGAGCAAACAGG